rnacentral:tRNA from 1 species
AAAAAGAUAAGCUAAAUUUAAGCUAAUGGGUUCAUACCCCACCGAUGAAUAAAUUCUCUUUUUA